AAGUUUUGCUGCAAGUGAGGGGGUCGCCUCCGUUCAAUGGGGGGGGGUCCAAUGCGCGGCUCCCCCCCUUUUUUCAUUCUUUUGGGGGGGGGCUCUUCCCGCUGCCCCUCUUGAGCCGCCCCCGGAUCCACGCCCCUGGAAUGGGACUUGGCGACCGAGAUUGCACCUGAUUCCCCAGCCCUGGAGGAUGGACAGGUUGGCGGGGGAGGCAGGUCCCCGGGCGCAGGGUGAAGUCAGGAAGAACGCCGCGGUCUGUCUCUGCCGUGGGCAACGUGAAUCACAGUUCCUACUAGAAUGUGCAGAUUGCCUUUAUGUGAGUUGGGGUGACAGAGGGCCUGCUGGAUCGUGAAACCCCAACUGUCUGUUUGACAGGCUACAUGUCUGCCGUGGAUGCUGUUUUUCUCAUUGUGGCAAAGCAGAGGCUCAGAUGUGUGUAACCAGCUGUGUUGGAAGCCCAUCACCUGGUGAACUCUGUACACUUUUAAUGAGGAACAACAGAGAAUUCCUUUUGGUGGAAAUAUUUAAAGAAGACAUUGCUUUCUGCUAGCUGCUAGCACGUGCCAAUUGCUGGAAUUUUCAGCACUGUCACACGCAGAAAGCAUCCAUCAACGUGGUUUCGGAGCAGAAGGAGAAAGCACAGCAAGACAUGGUCAUACAAGAUGCUGGAAAGAAUCUGAAGAAAUCACCUCUUAAGAUGAUGGCCAUUUGCUGGAUUUUGGAGAAUCUUCAAACCAGGCAUGGAGCUAUCACUGUUUCUUCUGUUUACUGUGGUGUCUUAAUUUAUGAAUCUUUAACAAUCCUUCA